UAAAUGACUCCUGGCAAUGGAUAUCUUGGCUCUCGUGUCGAUGAAGAACGCUACCCGACCAUGCGACACUUGGUGUGAAUUGCAGUAAUCCCGUGAACCACGAGUCUUUGAACUGCAAGUUGCGCUCAAGGCUAUUAAGCCGAGAGCACGUCUGUUUGGGCGUCAUGC
rnacentral:rRNA from 1 species